UUUUACAGCUUGGAGCGUUAUUUUACAACAGUGUUCCACGUGGCCAUUUUAACCGCCAUUUUGAAUCGCCAUUUGCAUGGUGAACUGUGAAGCGUGGGGUGGCGUGGAUGAAGCGCGGCAGUUCCCUAUACACCGUGCAUACUGCAUAUAUCGUGAAGCGAGGCCUCCGGUGCGGCGAAGCAUGCAGUGUCUGCUAGACGACCAAAACUGCGGCAAGCAGUGAACAACAAAGUCGUGGCACGACCUGACCCCUGAUUAUGGGGACUAGUGAGGAGCCAAAUGAGUUAAAGGAAAGAGUCGUCAAGAACAUCCAGCAAGUGUGUGACGAACUGGUGGCGCUACUCGCCUACGGACGCUGGGCGAUCUCAAGAACGAGCAGAGCUCCGUGAGUGUUCACUUCUUCAGUCGUCCCGCCUCAACGUUCAGGGAGCACUGGGCCACUUUAAGCUGUCAAAGUCAAAGGUCGGUGAAGUUGCCACAAUCCUUGCAGCCCAUGCCCCCAUGUUUUGUCUUCCGUUCCGUGGACCAUGCAAGCAUAUAUGUACCUAUUCGAGGUGCUCUACAAGAAAGCCCUAUAGUUCGUUUUUCUUAAGUUCGACCCUCACUGUAAACAUCUGUUUGAACACAGCACGAGAAUUGCUAGCUGAACUACUUAGAAAACUGGUUAGCGCACAUUGAAUUAGAGGUAUGAAUAAUAUUUUCAAAAUAGGUUGUGAACACUGAUGAUGUACCGUUAUGUUAAGGGG
rnacentral:lncRNA from 1 species